rnacentral:rRNA from 1 species
GCCGGCAGGUAGCUCUCUGCAACUCUCACAUGGUCGCCCACUGAAGCUAAGCAGGGCUGCGCCUGGUCAGUACCUGGAUGGGAGACCACAUGGGAAAGCUAGGUUGCUGCCGAAA